rnacentral:tRNA from 1 species
GUGGGUGUAGCUCAGUUGGUAGAGCACCGGAUUGUGGUUCCGGGUGUCGCGGGUUCAAAUCCCGUCUCCCACCCCA